rnacentral:rRNA from 1 species
GAUGAACGCUGGCGGCGUGCCUAAUACAUGCAAGUCGAGCGAACAGACGAGGAGCUUUCUCCUCUGACGUUAGCGGCGGACGGGUGAGUAACACGUGGAUAACCUACCUAUAAGACUGGGAUAACUUCGGGAAACCUGAGCUAAUACCGGAUAAUAUAUUUAACCGCAUGGUUCAAUAGUGAAAGACGGUUUUGCUGUCACUUAUAGAUGGAUCCGCGCCGCAUUAGCUAGUUGGUAAGGUAACGGCUUACCAAGGCAACGAUGCGUAGCCGACCUGAGAGGGUGAUCGGCCACACUGGAACUGAGACACGGUCCAGACUCCUACGGGAGGCAGCAGUAGGGAAUAUUCCGCAAUGGGCGAAAGCCUGACGGAGCAACGCCGCGUGAGUGAUGAAGGUCUUCGGAUCGUAAAACUCUGUUAUUAGGGAAGAAAAAAUGUGUAAGUAACUAUGCACGUCUUGACGGUACCUAAGCAGAAAGCCACGGCUAACUACGUG